AGGGGGAGAAGCCACCAACGGAAUAACUUAUCUCCUAGCGGCUGGGGAAAAGGGCCACAGGAUAGAGCUCAGCUCCCACUCCACUCAACGCCAAAGCUGUCCUGGAGCCAGACGGUCCUGAGCUCUGGCACUGGAGGCCUGGGAGCCAUGCCCUUGACCAGCCUUGAGACCUCGAGCAAGACAAGGCAACCAUUCUGAGGCUGAGUUUCCUGCUCUGCAAACGACAUGACACCCUCGGCUGGAUGUUGCAGCGGUGACACUGAAGUAGUGACACCAGACGAUUUCUGUACUUAAUGUGAUGUCAGCACUUAGUAAACAUUCAUAUCCCCUGCCUCCAGAGUUCCUUAAGGUUCAAUUGAUGGAAUGCCUCCUCUGCACCAGCACCUGGGCAGUAGAGACGGAGUUUCACCGUGUUAGCCAGGAUGGUCCCGAUCUCCUGACCUCGUGAUCCGCCUGCCUCGGCCUCCCAAAGUGCUGGGAUUACAGGCAUGAUGAGCCACUGCGCCCGGCCUAUUUCAACUUAAGUGAAAAUCUCACCUGUGGCCAGCGGCUACCGUGCUGGACAGCACAGGUACGGACAGAGGAACCCUGGGAGCCGCAGGUUUCAGCUUUGGGGAGGGAGGAUGAACUAGCAGAGGCAGCCAAGAAGGAACAGCCGGAAAGGCAGGAGACCCCAGGUUGCUGGGUGCCCAGGAUGGCAAGAAUGGGCUCCAGGGAAGAGCACAUAGCCCUGGGCCACUGUGCCGAGCCUGAGCCAAGGACUGAGAUGAGAACUGUGGUUGACUCAGCAACGUGGAGCCAUUCCUACAAAACUUGCUCCAGUUUUGCUGGUACAGGGACACUGCGAGUGGCAGGGGCAGCAGCCACCUGGGCAGGUUCUGUGGAGACACACAGUGGGAAGCUCUGAGCUCAGCUCACCACCUGCAAGCUCCGACAACCCUGCCGCAGCCUCAUGAUAUUGGUGCUGCCCUUAGUUGAUAGGAAACAGCUCAGAGAAGGGACACUGCUUGCUUAGAGUCACACAGCAAAAAAAAAAGAAAAUACUUGCAGUCAGGUCUGUGCUCGUGUGCCUUCCAUCCUGCUGUUCCCUCCCUUCAGGGGGAGGAUGCCCUCCACCCGGCCCUCCCUCAGUCCCAGUGCUCAGCCCUCUCCACCCGGCCCUCCCUCAGUCCCAGUGCUCAGCCCUCUCCUCCAACACCGAAUCCCACUCUUCCUCCUUGUUUGCCUCAGCCCCCGGCCCUCAUCUCCGGCUUCUCCUUGUGGCUUGUGAGGGUUGGGUGGAUGUGGAAGUGGGAGAGACAGAGGGGCUGGGAGCAUUUGGGAGCUGAGGCUCACAGGCCCAGAGGGGACA
rnacentral:lncRNA from 1 species